UACGUAGGGUGCAAGCGUUGUCCGGAAUUAUUGGGCGUAAAGAGCUCGUAGGCGGUUUGUCGCGUCUGCUGUGAAAACGCGAGGCUCAACCUCGCGCCUGCAGUGGGUACGGGCAGACUAGAGUGCGGUAGGGGAGAUUGGAAUUCCUGGUGUAGCGGUGGAAUGCGCAGAUAUCAGGAGGAACACCGAUGGCGAAGGCAGAUCUCUGGGCCGUUACUGACGCUGAGGAGCGAAAGCGUGGGGGAGCGAACAGG
rnacentral:rRNA from 1 species